UACAGAGGGGGCAAGCGUUGUUCGGAAUUACUGGGCGUAAAGGGCGCGUAGGCGGCCUGCUAAGUCGAACGUGAAAUCCCCGAGCUCAACUCGGGAACUGCGUCCGAUACUGACAGGCUUGAAUCCGGGAGAGGGAUGCGGAAUUCCAGGUGUAGCGGUGAAAUGCGUAGAUAUCUGGAGGAACACCGGUGGUGAAGGCGGCAUCCUGGACCGGCAUUGACGCUGAGGCGCGAAAGCUAGGGGAGCAAACGGG
rnacentral:rRNA from 1 species